UACGAAGGGGGCUAGCGUUGCUCGGAAUCACUGGGCGUAAAGCGCACGUAGGCGGCUUCUCAAGUCAGGGGUGAAAUCCUGGAGCUCAACUCCAGAACUGCCUUUGAUACUGAGGGGCUCGAGUCCGGGAGAGGUGAGUGGAACUGCGAGUGUAGAGGUGAAAUUCGUAGAUAUUCGGAGGAACACCAGUGGCGAAGGCGGCCCACUGGCUCGACACUGACGCUGAGGUGCGAAAGCGUGGGGAGCAAACAGG
rnacentral:rRNA from 1 species